AGGACGAACGCUGGCGGCGUGCUUAACACAUGCAAGUCGAGCGAUGAAAUUUCCUUCGGGAAAUGGAUUAGCGGCGGACGGGUGAGUAACACGUGGGUAACCUGCCUCAUAGAGGGGAAUAGCCUUUCGAAAGGAAGAUUAAUACCGCAUAAGAUUGUAGUACCGCAUGGUACAGCAAUUAAAGGAGCAAUCCGCUAUGAGAUGGACCCGCGUCGCAUUAGCUAGUUGGUGAGGUAACGGCUCACCAAGGCGACGAUGCGUAGCCGACCUGAGAGGGUGAUCGGCCACAUUGGGACUGAGACACGGCCCAGACUCCUACGGGAGGCAGCAGUGGGGAAUAUUGCACAAUGGGGGAAACCCUGAUGCAGCAACGCCGCGUGAGUGAUGACGGUCUUCGGAUUGUAAAGCUCUGUCUUUAGGGACGAUAAUGACGGUACCUAAGGAGGAAGCCACGGCUAACUACGUG
rnacentral:rRNA from 1 species